ensembl:lincRNA
UUUUCGAUCACCUCAGGAGCGAGCCCUUCCCGGCAGCGUCUCAGUGCUCAGCGCACUCUGCAAAGGACUCUGUGUAAAUGCAGAACGAAUCGCUAAUGAAGCCAUUCCAAAGCACUUCUGUGUGAAGGCCAAUCUACCUUCCAGUAAUAACAUGCAGCUCAGUGCUCAGAGAGUCCGGUGACCUGCAGGAUCACGAGUCUGUUACUGCAGCCCAGGUGAGGGACGGAUGUAUGAGGGAUGGCUGGGACCGCCGAGGCUGUGCGGAUUGGGAGCAGAGGCACAGGAAGUCACCCGCGAAAGCAGGGUGGCCGGUGCCCUCGAGACGCAGGACGCCUCGGACGGGGACCGCAGAGGCGACAGAUGCUCGUAGUUCAGCAGCAGAGGAUAAAAGGUCUCCAUGGGGAAGAGCCGCCUGCAGGGCAGGAGCUGUUUACAGCACUUUCUGCUGCACAAGCCGUGAUAGUGGCCCGUUGGGCUUUAGCCAAACAAAAGGAAGGGUUUUUGCUCUGUUCCAUAUCUUCCCACAAGAGGUCGCUAUUUUAAAAGCCUCCAAGCAGCAGCUCUACAGCACCAGGUGAGAAUUGUCACUUUUUUUAAACUCUUCAAAAGGAGACCUGCAGCCUUUUCUAAAUCUUCAGGUCUGUGUCCAUGCGAUUUAGGGAUUUAGUCAAUUACUCGAGUAAUUAAAUGAACACAGAACUGAACAACGGCAAUGAUUAACGGUGGAUUAUGUAAAGAAGUCACGGUGAAGAGGAUGGCUACUUGUUGGCAGAUGAAGGUCAGUUUCUGAUUUGCAGGGCUCUGUCCCUAAUGCCGAUGAGGAGGAUGAGGAUGAAUGCAGUGACGAUGGUGCAACACAUGUUUUUGGUCUCCAAGCUCACAGGGCAACAGGAGGCAGGUAACAUUAAAGUCCUUCUUUGUGUGGUAGUUGCAGCACAGCCUGCCUGUGUUUUCUCCCUAAUUACGGGCUCAAUGUGCACUUACAACAAGAGCCUCUCCAAGCCUCUCUCUUCUCCCUCUCUGCCUGCGUGCCAGCCUCCCCUCCCCUGUUUGUUAGCAAGUGCCAUUACCUCAGGAAGAAGAGCGGCUUCUUCCACACAAAGGCGAAGGUUUCAUUAGAAGGAAUGGCUGUUCCCCUCAAACUGCCACUGAAAACACAGCCUGCACUGGAGUGGCCAAAGAGACCAGACACGGAGAACAAAUAACAGCAAGGAACUUGGGCAUCUCACAUCUGAACCCAACGACCGCCUUGAAGGAAAAAUCAUUUUUUUACCCCUGGUCUGUUCAAGAAAACAUCCACUCUUAUCACCCCGAGAAAAGCAUUUCUGCCCAUAUACACCCGUCUUUCAUCAUAAAAAUUUGAAGUAUUCCCAUUAGGAGCCUGUGCCAGGACAGAGACAUAAGAUUAUUACCUAACCUUCCCUGAACCUCACACACACUCACUCAAAUUGAUGCCAAGCUGCAGCAAGCAACAAGUACACUCUGUACCACAAGCUGAAGCCUUAAACUUACUGGAAUUAUUUUCCGGGAAAUGUAACAGAAACAGUCAGAACAUGACUAACUGCUGUCUGCCAUUCCCACUGCAGAACAUUGCAAAAAUUCAGUGUUGGAUUGUUGUUUUGGUCUGAGCACAGGCGACAGAAGGCAAAUGGAUAGUUACCCUGUACGUGCUGCGAACAACUUUUUCCUUUAAUCCAAGGCAGCAAAAAAACUCAGAGAUUUGUGAAUUGUUAAGUGUGCUAUAACACAAACCAACUGGGGCAGAAGAACUGUAUUUGUUAA